rnacentral:rRNA from 1 species
GUCUUUUUGAAUAUAAUUUAAAGUCUAACCUGCCCACUGAAUUAUUUGAAGGGCCGCGGUAUUUUGACUGUGCAAAGGUAGCAUAAUCAUUAGUCUUUUAAUUGGAGGCUUGUAUGAAUGGUUGGAUGAGGUAUUAACUGUCUCAAUUUAAUAAAUUAAAGAAUUUUAUUUUUAAGUUAAAAAGCUUAAAUUUUAUUGGAGGACGAGAAGACCCUAUAGAUCUUUAUAAUUAAAUUAAUAAUAAUUUUAUUGAAUAAAUUUAUUCUUAUUAAUUGAAUUAUUUUAUUGGGGUGAUAAAGAAAUUUAAUUAACUUUUUUUUAAAAAAAAACAAUUAUAUUUGAGUAAUGGAUCCAUUUUUAGUGAUUAUAAGAUUAAGUUACCUUAGGGAUAACAGCGUAAUUUUUUUGGAGAGUUCAUAUCUAUAAAAAAGAUUGCGACCUCGAUGUUGAAUUAAAGGUUAAUUUUAGGUGUAGAAGUUUAAAAUUUUGGUCUGUUCGACCAUUAAAUC